rnacentral:rRNA from 1 species
AUACGUAGGGGGCGAGCGUUGUCCGGAAUGAUUGGGCGUAAAGGGCGCGUAGGCGGCCCGGUAAGUCUGGAGUGAAAGUCCUGUUUUUAAGAUGGGAAUUGCUUUGGAUACUGUCGGGCUUGAGUGCAGGAGAGGUAAGUGGAAUUCCCAGUGUAGCGGUGAAAUGCGUAGAGAUUGGGAGGAACACCAGUGGCGAAGGCGACUUACUGGACUGUAACUGACGCUGAGGCGCGAAAGUGUGGGGAGCAAACAGGAUUAGAUACCCUGGUAGUCCACACUGUAAACGAUGAAUGCUAGGUGUAGGGGGUAUCGACCCCUUCUGUGCCGCAGUCAACACAAUAAGUAUUCCGCCUGGGGAGUACGGCCGCAAGGUUGAAACUCAAAUGAAUUGGCGGGG